GUGCUCACUUUGGCAGGACAUACACUAAAAUUGGAAUGAUACAGAGGAGAUUAGGAUGGCCCCUGCACAAGGAUGAUACAGAAAUUCAUGAAGUACUCCAUAUUUUU